rnacentral:rRNA from 1 species
UACGGGGGGGGGCAAGCGUUGUUCGGAAUUACUGGGCGUAAAGGGCUCGUAGGCGGCCAACUAAGUCGGAUGUGAAAUCCCCAAGCUUAACUUGAGAACUGCAUCCGAUACUGGAUGGCUUGAAUCCGGGAGAGGGAUGCAGAAUUCCAGGUGUAGCGGUGAAAUGCGUAGAUAUCUGGAGGAAUACCGGUGGCGAAGGCGGCAUCCUGGACCGGCAUUGACGCUGAGGAGCGAAAGCUAGGGGAGCAAACGGG